GUGAACUUUACCAUGGUCUCUAUUCUUUGCAGGAACACAUUCUGGAGGGUCGACCAGCAACCACCUGUUCUUAAAAAAGGCUUACUAUAAUGCACCUGAAGAAGUGGGCUGUAGCUCACAAAAGCUUAUGCUCAAAUAAAUUUGUUAGUCUCUAAGGUGCCACAAGUCCUCCUUUUCUUUUUGCGGAUACAGACUAACACGGCUGCUACUCUGAAACCUGUGAUAAUGCUAGUGGAGCACACACCUUACUUCAGGUAGCAGGGUUUAAAGGAGCUCGAGUUCUUUAAGGGAAACCCCUCCCCUCUUCCCAUCCACCACCACAGCAUCAUGUCUUGCUACAGCUCCCAGCAUAUCCUGCCUAGCCCCCAUCCCCCAACAUGACUGCAUUACAAAUAAGGCUAGAAAAGGAACAGCAAAAUCAGGUGCUCCGCUGAAGAUAAGCAGAACAAUAAACGAUGAAAGGAUACACUCUUUCAGGUCGUUACUGAAGUCUGGAUUUCUAGUCUGUCAGUGCUGAUCCUGGGGCUAGCCUCACAUCCGCAGCAUUCAAUCCCUGACUGGCCAUGGAGCAUGCCAAAGGGAGGAA